UUUUACAUUUUCCUACAAAGCAAACACUUCGCCGCAAUUUUUAUCGCUUCCUGCGCGUCACGUUCCGAAGUUCAGGCGUCGGGUUUCCAUUUUCCAUUUCCCUCUUGAUUACUCUCUAUCGGCCGUCGCGAUCGCUUUAUUGAAGGUCAUGAAAACUACAAGAUUUUAAGUCUCUUUCAAACACCAAGUAAGCCUUUCUAUGGAUGAAAAAGGAUUUUUGCAGGGUAAUCGGAUAGAAGAUGUUCGCUGGCUUUGUUCCCUGUCUGAGUCAGAGCUUGAUAUGCUGAUUAGCUUGAAAAAGAUGGUUGUCCAACGGGCAAAGGUCAUUGGUCAUGAAUCUCUAGCGAAGAAAUUUGAUUUGAAGAUGUAUAGAGCACUUGGUUUCAUUUUCUUGGAGCACCUUAAAGAACAACUAAAGGAUGUGUCUGCCACUCCUGGCUUGAACAAAUCAUCCGGUUUCUUAGAUAGAUGCAAUUUACUGAACAGCAACCUCAAUGACAGUUUUGGCACUAUGAGUCUUCAAGAGUUAAGGACAUAUGUUGGUGCUGAUCAGAGAAAGAGAAUAGCAGAAAUAUUUGUUGAUGAUGAAGCUCCUGAUCAGAAGAAGAAGGCUAAGUCUAAAAAUUCCUUUUGAGUAAGUGAUCUUGCAUGGUAGUUUUAUUGAGGUUGUCUUUAUCCACUGGUUGAAUGUGCAGGAUUUUCAUCAAAUAAGGGAAGGAAAAAUGCUGAGAAUGUUCAAAUUGUGGGGAAUACGGACUGCAUGCAGGCAUGAGAAAGACAGACUGGGUUGCAGGAGCACGACGAACACUGGCGAUGACUGAUGAGUGAUGAUCAUAAUGAAAGGCUCACUUUGUUGGCCUCUGUGGAACUGUUUUUUCAUAAUAAGUCCAAAACAAACUUCCUCAUCAAAUUUGUGAAUGUCAUUUUGAGUAGCAUUGUGAUUUGAGAUCCACGAUUCUUGUCUUUGCCAUGCAAUGGGGAGGCCCUUUAAGUGAUAUAAUUCUCCAACAUUUUCCUUCU